rnacentral:rRNA from 1 species
UAAAGUUGUUGCAGUUAAAAAGCUCGUAGCUGAAUUUCGGGAUUAGUAGGUUGGUCGUGCCUCUGGUAUGUACUGGCUUUACUGGUUCCUCCUUCUUGAAGAACUGUAAUGUCAUUAAUUUGGUGUCGCAGGGAAACAGGACUGUUACUUUGAAAAAAUUAGAGUGUUUAAAGCAGGCUAACGCUUGAAUACAUUAGCAUGGAAUAAUGAAAUAGGACGUUUGAUCCUAUUUUGUUGGUUUCUAGGAUUGACGUAAUGAUUAAUAGGG